rnacentral:lncRNA from 1 species
AUCUAGUACCUGGGAGAGCUGCCAAAAUCUUCGGAUAGUUGUUCGUAGAUGAUCUUCAGAUGAUGGCCGGUUGACUCAUGAUCGUCUUCGGUUUGACUUUUAUGAUAUCGGCCGGGUCGGUCCGUCGUGGUCAGAGCCCCCUCUUUCGGACAGGGAUGACUCGACGACCGCCCGCGUCGUACCUGGUUCGCUGGGAACCUUUUGCUUUUUCUAGUCAGAGCUUCUUCUCUCUAGUCGGAGCUUCUUCUCUCCUUUGGAAAUAUAAUUCAUUAGUUUAUAUCCUCAGCUCCGGAUGAUGUAUCGAUGUUUAUUGUAGCUUCUGUUCUCAUGGACGAGCUCUCCACUGUUUUUAUACAAUAUCGUUUCUCA